rnacentral:tRNA from 1 species
GUCCAGAUAGCUCAGUGGUAGAGCAGAGGCCUGAAGAGCCUCGUGUCCUUGGUUCAAUUCCAAGCCUGGACA